UUUCCAUAAAAUGGGUGCCCCAUACCACCCCUCCACCAACGGGCAGGCGGAGAGAUUCAUCCAAACCUUCAAGAAUAAGAUGAAAGCUCUUCGCUGCGACAAAGUGGGAAUGCACAAAGAGCUUUGCAACAUUCUCUUGAAUUACCGGAAAACCAUCCACCCAACUACAGGCAAAUCCCCAUCUAUGAUGUUGUUCAACCGCCAAAUCCGAUCCAGACUCGAUCUAAUGCUGCCUAGCUCGGAGUGUUCGGAUAAAGUUGACACUAAGGUUCGAUCAAUUCCGGAGGGAGGAAGAGUUGCUGCUCGUGACUUUCUGGAUAGCGAAAAAUGGAAGUAUGGAUACGUCGUCGAGAAACUAGGUAAGCUGCAUUACAACGUACAACUCGACGAUAACAGGAUCUGGAAGCGCCACAUUGACCAGCUUCGUGAAGUGGGACAGAACCUUCGCACUGAGCCGUUUGUAGAUCGUCCACCAUCUCCAAGGAACUUGCGGUCGCAUUCACCCCAACAAUCGCCUACUGCGGAGCCAGUGGGCACUCAAAGUGCUGCUUCAUCAACAAGGACAAACGCGGAGUCCCCACAAAAACCACCUGCUUUUUCCAUACCUGAUGACCAACCACCGAUACCAGCGAGAGUACCAGAGGUACCUAUCCGGCCGGACGUAACAGGUGAACCAAGCCGAUCUGAACAGAAGCCAACGCCUAGACGUUCGAAUAGAGUGUCGAAGCCUCCAAGAAGGUUGGACUUAUAGUAACAUGAAAUUCUUAUUAAGGGGGGAAGAGCUGUUAUAACUUUAGAUUUUCUCUCCGUGUCAUUAUUUUCUAUACACGCUAACCUGAAACUACCCAUCGGCUGGGUCGAUUCUACCCGGAUUUUCAUGUUAUUAGCAGAUGUCAAAAUCCGGGUAAUCGAUCUCACACCAGAAGAGUAAGAUUCACCCUGAUUCUGGGUAAACCGGUCUUUGAAAAAAUCCCGAUACCCAUUUUCUUUAGUUGGUUGUCGCUGUCACAAUCUGGGUAAACAUCUGAGUAAAUGAGACUUGCAAAAAAUUUUCACAAUGGCCACGGUGCUAUAAGUGGUAGUGGUUCCAGCGAUCUGUUUAAACUGCGGAAAAUUAGAUGUUGCGGUCUGUCGAGGAAUUUCUGGAAAUUUUGAGCGGCGAAAGCUGAACACUAGUGAAUCGAUAUUCUUUGCUGCUGCCCUGCUGAUCCAGUUUAAUGCCGGCGAGGAUGCUGGAGCUUUGGCCGGAACAACAUUUUCUAGUCACCACAAACAAAUAGUGCUUCGUCUGUGAUGUGAUUGCGUAAUGAAUUACUGAAAUAAACAUAAUCCAAAUCAUAAAUUAUUGUAUUAUUUUUGAUUUUUUUUUUGCUUGGAAAUAGUUAUGGGGAAUCUCAUAUGGUCAAUGCUCUGCUACUCAUUUGGGUAGAAAUGGGUAGAAAAUACCCUGAUAACUAACGUCAACAUCAGGGUAACCUUUACCCAGAUUUGGCAGCUAAUAUUGGUAACCCAGAUUUGAGUAAAGGUACCUUUACCCACUUUAGAGUAACUGCAGUUUUGCUCGAUCUGGGUCGCUUUGACGUAAAUCUGGGUAGCUGAGGGUUAGCGUGUACUGUUGUACUGACCAGUUAUGUAAAACCUAAGAUGGACGUAAUACAGAAGUGAAUUUCUAAUCCGAGUAAAAGCGCGUUUCUACCGUGAAAUAACCGAAAUUACCCCGUGAAAAUUCUCGGCUACAACACCUACAUUUACUCAAAAUUGGCUUAUUGCCACGCUAAGAUCAGUUUACCCAUAAAUAGGUAAUUUAUUUACCCAUAUAUGAGUUUUAUAUGCAUUACCUAUAUUAUGGGUAAAAUAUACUAAGAAAAAACAGUAAAGUCUACUCAUAUUAUGUGAAAACAGAGAUUACCUAAAUUUGGGUAAAGUGAUUUACCCAUAUUUGGAUGAAAAAUAUUCCUUGUUGGCAACAUCGCGAUAGAAACGUGGAUACACGCUAACCUGAAACUACCCAUCGGCUGGGUCGAUUCUACCCGGAUUUUCAUGUUAUUAGCAGAUGUCAAAAUCCGGGUAAUCGAUCUCACACCAGAAGAUUGGUUGUCGCUGUCACAAUCUGGGUAAACAUCUGAGUAAAUGAGACUUGCAAAAAAUUUUCACAAUGGCCACGGUGCUAUAAGUGGUAGUGGUUCCAGCGAUCUGUUUAAACUGCGGAAAAUUAGAUGUUGCGGUCUGUCGAGGAAUUUCUGGAAAUUUUGAGCGGCGAAAGCUGAACACUAGUGAAUCGAUAUUCUUUGCUGCUGCCCUGCUGAUCCAGUUUAAUGCCGGCGAGGAUGCUGGAGCUUUGGCCGGAACAACAUUUUCUAGUCACCACAAACAAAUAGUGCUUCGUCUGUGAUGUGAUUGCGUAAUGAAUUACUGAAAUAAACAUAAUCCAAAUCAUAAAUUAUUGUAUUAUUUUUGAUUUUUUUUUUUUGCUUGGAAAUAGUUAUGGGGAAUCUCAUAUGGUCAAUGCUCUGCUACUCAUUUGGGUAGAAAUGGGUAGAAAAUACCCUGAUAACUAACGUCAACAUCAGGGUAACCUUUACCCAGAUUUGGCAGCUAAUAUUGGUAACCCAGAUUUGAGUAAAGGUACCUUUACCCACUUUAGAGUAACUGCAGUUUUGCUCGAUCUGGGUCGCUUUGACGUAAAUCUGGGUAGCUGAGGGUUAGCGUGUAGAAAAAAAGAGUGACUACUGCCGACUCCACUAAUUUUCAAGUUUUCUAUCGAUAGACGAUCGUGCUCAAUAGCGAAUAGUGAAAAAAAUACGUUGCGGACUCAGGAAUAUAUUCUUGACAAAACCAUCAGCUUUCUCAGCGCAGGGAAAUUGGCCUAGGAAUAUUUGAACCGACGGAAGUGUUGUCAAUAUAUGGGAAGGCAAAUCAUCUAUGUCCAAGUCUAUGUCUCUUCCACACAAGAGGAGUUUCAGUAUGUGGCCACAAAUAGCGACAAGUAUGCCGAGAAUCCGUUGAAGAAUCCGUGAUAAGUUGGAACCUAGUGAGAAAAAGGAAAGGCUUCUACGACGAAACUGAGCAAUGUGGUUGAGGGGAGAAACUAUCUGGAAGUCGAGCUGGAAGUACCGCCGGAAAGAAGCAGGCGAAAUCAACAGAUGACGGUGGAACCGUGGAACUUCGAGGCAUUACAUCGGACCAAGCAUCGGACCGGAAUGUGCCAGCUAUUGCUUUGAAAGUUAUUGAACGUCAUAGGGUGGGGCACAGUUAGUGGCACUGGUAUCCAAUUAUAUGUUGAAUAAAUUAAGUGAUUUUUACCGUAA